GCCUAUGUGGAGGUGAAGUACCGGUAUAUCAUUUUUGUUACAGUUUAGUCAGUCGUCGCGCACGAGUCACACGACGUGGUCCCGCGCCUGUUUUUACCGCUCCGUUACAGUGAUUUUUUUUUCCAUUUUUUUUGUUUUUUUUUUUCUAACUCAGUGAUCGGCCGAAUUAUUACACAGUUAUAUGCGAAACGUUUAGUUCAACAACUACAUUUCAUAGGCGUAUACAAAUUACAAACGUUUUCGUUAUUAUUGUUAUUUUUAUUUUUAUCGUCUGCAUUACGUAAUAAUGGUCGAAUCAAAAUGAGAUAUACACCUACCUGCUACACCUGUAACGCGCUGUGUUCAGCAUAAAUCGUCAACAAUCAAGUUAGUAACCCGUUCAAUAUCCAAAUAACUACUG